AUUCCAUGAUGGGGACAUUCUAGGAUGUAGUCUUGAAAACGCUCCCAUGCUUCUGGAACAGAGUCAGCAAUUGGUGCUGGAAAACUCGUGAUCUCCGCAGCGAGGAG
rnacentral:snoRNA from 1 species